UGUUUGCACCCAUUUGAGGAGAGCAAUCUUUAUAGUCAUGCUGCUUGUAAUUUUACUAUAGGUUUGUUCCAGCUUUCUGAGUGGUUGAUGCCAGCCGUUGUUACAACAAUUCACCUGCCUAUGCAGACUACUGCUAAUUAGCAACGUCAGUCCCACAGAAGCAGCACCCUGCAGGAAGGGAUCCUUAUCCAGAAGCUGGGAUGCAAAAAAAAAGUGAAGGAUGGCUAUAUGAGAAAUGCACACUGGCUGCCUGCAAAUGCCUUGGAAGCUUCUCAGAGAUUCCUCAUGAGAAGAUCAACAAUUGCAGCAUUCCCAGAAGACAGAAAUGUUAGACAUAAUCUAAGUGUACUCUUGGAUCAAGCAUGGUGAUGGGAAGACCCAACAGGCCUGUACAAUGCUCUCCUUGGACUGAAUGGGAAACGUCCACCUAUUUCUUGCCUAUUCUGUCUAAUUUCCUAUUCAUGGGGGAAUGUGGUCUCAUUUGCUUGUGGAAGGACAGAUAAUUAGAAUCAUAGCUGGUUUUAUAACCUUUGGCCAUGGAGCUGUUGAGCUUACUUGUUUUUCAUUCUGUUGUCCAGUCUAGUGAAUAACACUGCCUAGGCACAGCUGAUAUGUAUAUAUCCCAGUAGGCAACAGAUACUUCUCUAUGAAUUUAGCUUUAAGUUUUGAAAUUUACUUUCAUUCUUUUAGUCCCAGACUGCCUGAAGCCACAUUUCCUUGCAACAUUAAAAAAUAAAGAGCACUUAGGUAACAAUCUCACUUUGAAUCAAGAACUGCAAACACAGAAAGCUUUAUCAUCAACACAACACAUCCAAAAAUGUCUUUGUAAAAUAAAUCAAAUUAUAUGAGUUAAUUGAUUCCAGGGAACAUCAGCAACUGCAGGUGGAAAACAAGUAACAGGAUGUUUAUUAAUGAAGGGCUAUUAAUCAAAAUUGACAAUACCAAUCCGUGUUCCUUUAAAUUUCAGUGCUACCUGCACUGGACAUGGACAUAUUUUUUUCCCUUUCUAAAUACGGAUUUGUAAGAAAAAUAAAGAUUAACUCUU